rnacentral:lncRNA from 1 species
GACGAGCAACCUCCCAAGCCCCUCCCUAAGCCCUCGGAGCUCCCCAUUACCCUAGGACCGAAGCAACCGCCGUCAGACCCCAUGGCAAUGUCGGCUCCAGAGCCUUCCCCCUCUCCUCUACUCAUAGUCAGGACAUCCCCAAGCACUGGUGAAGCCAUUAACGCCCUCGGCUCAGUCGGAAGAGCCCCGCCGACGCAGGCCCCCUUGCCGUUCUCCGGCCGCCUGACCCGAGUCGCGGCGACGUCACUGCAGGCCGCCUCAGGCNNNN